rnacentral:piRNA from 1 species
UACAUAGCCGUUUUGGUCAGU